rnacentral:rRNA from 2 species
CAUGUCUUUUUGAUUAUAAUAUAAAGUCUAAUCUGCCCACUGAGAGUUUUGAAGGGCCGCAGUAAUUUGACUGUGCAAAGGUAGCAUAAUCAUUUGUCUUUUAAAUGAAGGCUAGAAUGAAUGAUUGGACGAGGUAUAAACUGUCUCAUUAUUAAAAUAAUAAAAAUUUAACUUUUUAGUUAAAAGGCUAAAAUAAUUUUGGAGGACGAGAAGACCCUAUAGAUCUUUAUAUUAUUUAAUAAUUUUUUAUUUUAGUAAAAUAAAUUUAAAAUUAUUUAAUAUAAUAUUUUGUUGGGGUGACAAGAAAAUUAAAUAAACUUUUCUUUAGUAAAACAUAGAUUAAUGAAUUUAUGAUCCAUUAUUAUUGAUUAUAAGAACAAGUUACCUUAGGGAUAACAGCGUAAUUUUAUUGGAGAGUUCAUAUUAAUAAUAAAGUUUGCGACCUC